GCUGGCGGCGUGCCUAACACAUGCAAGUCGAACGAGAAAGUGGAGCAAUCCAUGAGUAAAGUGGCGACCGGGUGAGUAACACGUGACUAACCUACCUUCGAGUGGGGGAUAACCUCGGGAAACCGGGGCUAAUACCGCAUAAUGCCUUCGGGUUAAAGGAGCAAUUCGCUUGAAGAGGGGGUCGCGGCUGAUUAGCUAGUUGGCGGGGUAACGGCCCACCAAGGCGAUGAUCGGUAGCCGGCCUGAGAGGGCGCACGGCCACACUGGAACUGAAACACGGUCCAGACUCCUACGGGAGGCAGCAGUGGGGAAUUUUGCGCAAUGGGGGAAACCCUGACGCAGCAACGCCGCGUGGAGGAUGAAGUCCUUUGGGACGUAAACUCCUUUCGACCGGGACGAUUAUGACGGUACCGGUGGAAGAAGCCCCGGCUAACUUCGUGCCAGCAGCCGCGGUAAUACGAGGGGGGCGAGCGUUGUUCGGAAUUAUUGGGCGUAAAGGGCGCGUAGGCGGUGCGGUAAGUCACCUGUGAAACCUCUGGGCUUAACUC
rnacentral:rRNA from 1 species